CCUACGGGAGGCAGCAGUGGGGAAUAUUGCACAAUGGGCGAAAGCCUGAUGCAGCAACGCCGCGUGAGGGAUGACGGCCUUCGGGUUGAAACCUCUUUUAGUUGGGAAGCGGUACCAGCAGAAAAAGCACCGGCUAACUACGUGCCAGCAGCCGCGGUAAUACGUAGGGUGCAAGCGUUGUCCGGAAUUAUUGGGCGUAAAGAGCUCGUAGGCGGUUUGUCGCGUCUGCUGUGAAAUCUGGGGGCUCAACCCCCAGCCUGCAGUGGGUACGGGCAGACUAGAGUGCGGUAGGGGAGAUUGGAAUUCCUGGUGUAGCGGUGGAAUGCGCAGAUAUCAGGAGGAACACCGAUGGCGAAGGCAGAUCUCUGGGCCGUACUGACGCUGAGGAGCGAAAGCAUGGGGAGCGAACAGGAUUAGAUACCCUUGUAGUC
rnacentral:rRNA from 1 species